rnacentral:misc_RNA from 1 species
GAGAGCGUGUGUGUGAGUAUGGUAGCAUACAUAAGAAUUAUACUACCAUGAUCUCGGGUUCAGCUCAUUUGGGUUUUGAGGUGUUGGUGCCAACAGGGAAUUAGGCUCUUGUUGGUGGUUCUUCGAGGCAACGCCAGCUCCUCCCUUUUUAUAAUAUUUAUUUAUUAUAUUUUUCGAGUAACAAUAAUUUUUGUUAUAUUUUUUAAUAAUAAUAUUUAUAAAAUUUUUAUUUAUUUUAUUUAAAUAAAAUAAAAUUUAAAU